rnacentral:rRNA from 1 species
AGCACAUUUCUUGUGUGACCGCGUACUUUUUGUAGAACGGGCCAACGAGUUACGUUAAGUAGCAAGGUUAAGCACUUAAGGUGCGGAGCCAUAGCGAAAGCGAGUUUUAACUGAGCGUUCAGUUACUGGACGUAGACCCGAAACCGGGCGACCUACCCAUGAGCAGGAUGAAGCGAAAGUAAAAUUUCGUGGAGGUCCGAACCCACGAGCGUUGAAAA